GGCACCUCACCAAGACUAAAGGGAUUUAUACGUACAGCCUACAUCACCUGUCACUUUACCUCCUGAAACAAUUGAGCUGGCUGCACCGUAUCCAAUGGUUCCGCCCCUUUGUUCCCUUUUCUGAAUUCUGAUUGGAACAAUGGAACGUCAAUCCCGUCCAAACAAGUGACUGUGGGGCAACAUCUGAAUUUUUGAAGGCGAACUUUGAUUGUGGCAUAGCUCCAAUAAGUCUUCUGGGCUAAA